UACGUAGGGACCAAGCGUUGUUCGGAUUUACUGGGCGUAAAGGGCGCGUAGGCGGCGUGCUAAGUCAGUUGUGAAAUCUCCAAGCUUAACUUGGAACGGUCAACUGAUACUGAUGUGCUAGAGUGCAGAAGGGGCAACCGGAAUUCUUGGUGUAGCGGUGAAAUGCGUAGAUAUCAAGAGGAACACCUGAGGUGAAGACGGGUUGCUGGGCUGACACUGACGCUGAGGCGCGAAAGCUAGGGUAGCAAACGGG
rnacentral:rRNA from 1 species